ACAAGUUUAUUUAACUACACAGAGAGAGGUUUUAAAUGAGUAAAGUAAUGAGGCAUUAAAGUAAGAAAUGGUUACCAGAAAAAUAAAGAUAAUUUUUUUUCUAAACGUAACUAGGCUUAUGAAGUCCCUUCCCACAAGUACCAGUAACAUUGCUGCCCACACUCUCAGGUCAAGAUCUGCUUCCAUAGUCCAACAGCUGUUUUCUUAUAAUCUUAGGUGAAAGAGAGAGAUGAGUAGGAGAGAAUUUGGCAUGGUUUUGCCCCUCACUUUUAUAGUUAUCACCCUUUGAAAAGUGUUUGCUCAAGCUUGACCCUUAGGUAAAGUUCUUUCUUUCUGAGAGCAAGGAGACAUGGAGUCUGAUGUAGGAAGGAGGCUUUGUGCUGUUUUUUUUUCACCUGGGGAUGCUGAAAUUCUUCUUUCUUCCCCCUCUUGUCCUCUGUGGCCUUUGUUUACAGAUGAUAUGCUAUUUGAGGAAACAUGACAGGCCUGCUUGGCCAGCGCUACUUAAUCAGGGCUACGUGAAUUGGAACAUGUGCCUUUAACACCCUACAGGGGGAUUUCAUAACUUUACACAGAAUGUUGCUACGUAAAUUUCAAUAUGAUAGUGUUGAUCAGUGAAUUAUUACUUUUCAGCAGUUCUGUCACAAAGCAUAUCUGUCUGUGUUGCACACAGCUGUGGUGGCCUAGCUUAUAAGUAUUCUUGUUCUCUUUUCAGUUCCUAUUAACUCUGGGUAGAUGAGAGAAUGGCCAGCCUUCUGGCAGAGACCAAAAGGAGCUGCCACCCUGAGACCAUCCAGGGAAAUGGAAACCAGACAGUUACCUGUGGAGUAAGAGCAAAUAGAAGUUUGCUAAAUAUUGAGGGAUGGCUGCAAAGACUCUUGUCAGCAUGAGUUUGCAGAGGAAUCGUCCAGGAGCUCUAGCCAGAUAAGAAUAUGGCAGAAAUGGACCUGAGCAGCCUGGACAUCCUUCUAAGGAUACAUAAACAGUCCUCAUAUUUCUGCCUUCUGCAUCGCUGGCUUACCAAGGGAAAAGAAAUCAAACAUCAGAGUUUACUUUCCUCAUCGGAUGGAAAGCGAGCGAGAGCAGUGAGCCUGCGAGCAUUGUUGAUGCAAGUGAAGAGCCGUCCGGUUGGCAGUUGCUACUGUCAGUGAGAUACAUGUCUGGUUUCGAGAGGGCUUUGCUCAUGACCCGCCUGGCUCCAGAUAGGGCCGCCCCAUUGACUGGGGCUGGGUUUGUGAGAAACGCUUCCUGACCAGCUGUGCUUACGAGAGAGACAAGAUCCCCAUUUUCAGGGGCUGCUCAGUUCUCUGGCCAGAAGCGGUGUGUCCUCCACAGCAGAAGGUUGCAUCUAGGAGGAUGACUCCAGUUUGCAGAGGAAUCAUCCAGGAGCCCAACCGGACAAGAAUAUGGCAGAAGUGGACCUGAGCAGCCUCGACAUCCUUCUAAGGAGACACGAAUAGUCCUCAUGUUUCCGCUUUCUGCAUCACGGGCUAUGAGUAAGAGUACCAAGGAAAAUGAAGUCGCGCAUCAAAGUCUACUGCUCUGAUGCGAUGGAAAGCGAGCAAGAGCGUCGAGACUCUGACCAUUGUUGAUGCCACGCAAAAGCUGUCCAUCUGGAAGCCGAGGAGAUGCUGCUGUCAGCGAGAUAAGUGUCUGGUUUGGGGAGGGCUCUGCUCACGCCCAACCCGAGUCCAGGUAGGGAAGCCCAGUACGGUAAGGCUGGGUUUGUAUGAAAAGGUUCCUGACUAGCUGUGGUCACGAGGGAGAAAAGGUCCCUGUUUUCAGAGGUUGCUCAUUUUUCUGGUCAGGAACAGUGUCUCCUGCACAGGGGGAGGUUGGAUCCAGGAGGAUGACUCAGGUGGUGAGUUGCUUGCUUUCCUCCCAUUUGUCUCUCCCUUCUCUAGUGUGUUGGCCAACUUUCUCACUCUCUUCCCUCUCCUCUCCUCGUGUCGUCUCACUUCCUAAGACACGGGCAGACAUGUUAGGUGCGCAUCCCUACAGGCUAGGUCUCGGGAUCCAUGGAGUAGCGGGAGCUGACGAAAAUCAUGCGUAGCAGUGGCUGUUGGUGUUAACUCUGUCUCUGUUGAUGGAGUGGGGCUGAGGUAGAUUGGGUUGGAGAGGGAUGCCAGGUUGAGGGCAAGAUUCGAAGCACCAGUAGAGCUUUGUGUAGUGAUGGCUCAUGCUUGGCUUUUGCAGCUGCUCUUCCAAAGCAAUUUUCCAGGAGUCCUAGACUGAGGAGAAAGUGGCAGAAGUGGACAUGAACAAUCCUCAGCUUUCUGACUCCCGCACAACUGGCUGUGAGUAAGCAGUCAGUGGUCUGAAUUCCUCAUCUGUGCUCGCUGUAGUACUCUUCUCAGGCCUUGUGCUUCCUCGUUGAGUGCGAGGCUCUGUCAGAUUACGCUGGCGAGGGGCCAGAGUCUGCUGUGCAGAGUGAUUGUUUCGGGUGCCGUUGGAAGGGGUGCUUUUUAGUUGUUGUGCUAAAGACGUAAUGGGGGGGAGGGUUUGGGGCGGAGUACUGCCGCGUGGGAGAGGUGAAUAGAACGUUUCCCACUCUGAUGAUAACUGUGAUUAAUGUGCAUAAAUAUUUGUUAGGCCUCAACCUUCUGGAAAUUGUGUGAAGCGAGUACAGAUGAAUCCUGCAAGAAUAGGUGUAAUCUAACUAGGAAGCUUUGUAGAGUAAAAAGGAAACUCUGUAAAGGUAGAUACAGACCUGUGGUUACUAUGCUCUGCAACCAAAUACCUCUUGAAUCUCAUUUGAGCAUUUUUGAGUCUAGAAAAUUAAACACUAUUAGCCCCAUAGAAAAGAGAUGACCUGAGCACAGGUGCACAGUUCAUAAGAUCAAGACAACUGCACAUACCACACGGAAACAUUUGGCCGCCUUCAUUGAUUGAUGUGUUUUGAAACAUGGCCAGCAAAUACCAUAUAAAUAAGAUGCAGGGGCGCAAGUGUGUUUGUGUGUGUGUGUGUGUGUGUGCGUGUGUGCGUUGGCCUAAAAGAGGUCACUCUUUGUCAGGCUCAUAUACACCCCUUGAACCAAAGGGACUUGCUCUUCACUGACUGACUAUGCCUGGCAGUGCAGGAAAUGGUCAACUGAAGGUAAUGUAUCUUUGGAAGAACUCAGGGUAAGUUUUUAAAGUGAAGAGGUCUGGUUAUGCUCGUGCUGGUUAAUCUUAAGUCUGUAUUAAUACUAUAGUUUAGUUAUAUUAGUAAAUUGUUGAAGUUGUUUAAAGAUUGUAAUAGUCAAUAGUUGAUCAAUAUAUAAUAACUGUAUAUGUUUUUGUGCCUUUCUGGGAAUGGGUACAGUGCUGGUGAACCUAGUAGCUUUGCAUGUCGCUGUGCCUGUCUUUUAUAUAAGUUACCAUCAUAAAAGUCAAUAAAUGCUUAUAAGUUGUUAUACAAAGUUAUAGGUAGGUUAAGGUUAGUAAAAUAUAGUUAGUCCAUGUAUUAAUAUUGCAUAUAGAAUUGUAUUUGUUGGGGUGGGUGCAGUACAUGUAAGGUUACUAGGCAAUCAGUAAUAGUAGCAUUGCAUGCGCUUGUAACUAUUUUCAAUAUUAUUUACCUUUUAUAUGUGCACUUAUAGGAAUAGGCAGUUAUUGCAUAAUAUUACUUGUACUUGUGCUUGUCUCCAGUAUAAUUUGCAAUUUGUAUUAAUCCUCACUCAGUGCUGGUCUUUAAUUCUGUUUUUCUUAUUCUGUCUGUGUUGCCUUUAUAGUCAUAAGUCAUUAAAAACCUUUCUGGAGGAAUAAUUAAUUGCUUAGUUUCUGUUUUGCAGACACUAUUCAGCCUCUUUACAUCUGUGUUGGGUGGUGGGAAGUAGCGAUCACCCAGAGCCCCACUAGGACCCUGACGUGAGCCCCCCUAGGGCUCUGACAUCUGCCUCCUCCUUCCAUUAAUCUCCACAAUAACUUUGUUUUUCCUUCUUGUGCUGGGUUUAGUACCCAGGGAAAAGAAAUCAAACGUCAGUCUACUGCCCUCGUGCGAUGUAAAGCGAGUGAGAGCAGUGAGCCCACGAGCAUGGUUGAUGCACGUGAGGAGCCAUCCAGUUGGCAGUGGAGCAGUUGCUGUGUCUGUGAGAUGAGUGUCUGGUUUGCCGGCACCAAGCAGAACCUGGCCACAGAGCACCACUACAGCCAUGGCUACAGCAGGUGUCCUAUAUGCCUGAGCUGCUCAGGGACGAAAACGCAUGUGGGCUCCUGGCUGCUGAACAACCUGCCCCACAUCUCACCCUCUCCUGUUCCCAGAGUAGUCUGCUCACAACAGAAACCAAGACCAGCCCCCAACUGGCCUGGCGCCCACUGCCCCUAAUGUGGAAAGCCUGAUGUCUGGUGGGGGAAACAUCUCAGCUGUAGUGUCAGGACUUACUAUUACAAACGUCUCUCUGUCCCAGUUUCCAACCUGUUGCGGUUACUGACACCUACAUGGCAAGUUUUUGCUGUCCUGCUGCAAUUUGCUACCCCCACAAUUCAGCGGGCCUGGGUCUAGGAGUAGUGAU